GAUGAACGCUGGCGGCGUGCCUAAUACAUGCAAGUCGAGCGAACAGACGAGGAGCUUGCUCCUCUGACGUUAGCGGCGGACGGGUGAGUAACACGUGGAUAACCUACCUAUAAGACUGGGAUAACUUCGGGAAACCGGAGCUAAUACCGGAUAAUAUAUUGAACCGCAUGGUUCAAUAGUGAAAGACGGUUUUGCUGUCACUUAUAGAUGGAUCCGCGCCGCAUUAGCUGGUUGGUAAGGUAACGGCUUACCAAGGCGACGAUGCGUAGCCGACCUGAGAGGGUGAUAGGCCGCACGGGAACUGGGACACGGUCCAGACUCCUGCGGGAGGCAGCAGUAGGGAAUGUUCCGCAAUGGGCGAAAGCCUGACGGAGCAACGCCGCGUGAGUGAUGAAGGUCUUCGGAUCGUAAAACUCUGUUAUUAGGGAAGAACAAAUGUGUAAGUAACUAUGCACGUCGUGACGGUACCUAAUCAGAAAGCCACGGCUAACUACGUG
rnacentral:rRNA from 1 species